rnacentral:tRNA from 1 species
GCCUUCGUCGCUCCAUGGCAGAGCAUCCGCCCCACGAGCAGGCGGUCCCGGUUCGAUUCCGGACGAAGGCU